CUUAAACUGCGUCAAGUCAAAGAAACCUGGGGCAAAUCCUUAACAUGUUUUUGACCGCAGUAAAUCCACAGCCACUCUCUACUCCGAGCUGGCAGAUUGAGAGCAAGUAUUCAACGAAAGUGCUCACUGGAAAUUGGAUAGAAGAGAGGAGAAAGACAUAAAAUUCAUCCUAAAAUUCAUAUAAAAUCUCAAGAGACUCCAAAUAGCCAAAACAAUCUUGAAAAAAAAAGAACAAAAUUGGAAGACUCACAUUUCUUGGUUUCAAAACUUACUAAAAGCUACAGUAAUCAAGAUAGUGUGAUACUGGCAUACAGACAGAUACAUAGACCUAUAGAACAAAAGAGAGAGCCUAGAAAUAAACAUUUGUAUAUAUGGUCAAAAGACUCUUGACGAGGUUCCUAAAACCGUUCAAUGGGGGAAAGGACAAUUUCUUCAAUAAAUGGUGUUCAGUAAAGUGGAUAUCUAUGUGCGAAAAAAUAAAGUUAGACCCUUCCCUAAUUCCAUACACAAAACUGAACUCAAAGUGGAUCGAAGACCUGGAUGAGACCUAAAACUACAAAACUCUUAGAAGAAAACAUAGGGGGCUGGGUGUGGUGACUCAUGCCAGUAAUCCCAGCACUUUGAGAGGCUGAGGUGGGAGGACUGCUUGAGGAAAGGAGUUCAAGACCAGCCUGGGCAAUACAGCAAGAACCCAUCUCUUUUUUUUUAAAUUAAAUAAAAAAA
rnacentral:sRNA from 1 species